rnacentral:misc_RNA from 1 species
GGCCUGUUAGAUGCGGAGGUUGGCUGGACAGCAGCUGGAGAUCUAUUUGUAUUUGCAGAGAGCAUUGAAGCCAACAUUUUCUUUAAGAGCAUCUGUAAAUGACCCCAAAAUUGUGCAUGUACCUCAGGAUAAUCAGUUCCAAACGAAUCUGAAGUCGCUUCAGACACAAAGCGUCCUUCAAACAUGCGAGAUAGAGCAGAUUCUAGCAUUGCAUUUGGAUGUAAGACACUAGAGAGGCUUAAUGAAAGUGCUGAUCUUUCUGUAAGAAUAGUUAUAUACAUGCUGGGAUGUGUCUUUGGUCCAUAAAAUUCUAUUGCUUUUUGCCAGUUCCUCUCAGCCAAGGAAGCAUAUUGCUUCACCCGCUGGAUAAUGCCAUUUUCACCUUUAGGCAAGUUCUUAUGAUCUGACUCCANNNNNNAACAGCAGUCUCUUUGGCAGCAAGCAAGCUGAAAGUAAGCAUAGGCAGCCUCCUGCUUGCGUAAUUCACCCAAAGAUUCAUACACAGACAACGCCUCCCUAAUGGCAUCAUUGGCCGAAAUCUCAUGCUUUCUCAAUUCUGUCCUAGCUCUUUUAUCACCAGGACUAAUAUGAACUUCCAAGGCUCCAUUCUCAUAGACUUCUGCAGUAAUAUCUUCUCUAGCCAAAAGCAUGCCAAGCCUCAGAUAUGUAUGGGCAUAUUGUGUAUAUACUUCAUUCAUCAGGUUCUUUGACUCUAAGUUGUCCUCUUCUGCAAUAGCAAUCAGUUCUGAUUUUGCUGCCCCAUAAUAUUUAAGUGAUUCAGAAUAUUCCAGUUUUGCAGUUUGCAAAGCUUGUUUACAUGUUUUAUGGAAGAUUGAGUGGGCUUUCAAACUUUCAAACUUUGAUACCAUCUCUUCAGCCAAUGCUCGUCUGCCAUGGCCUAAAUUACAAUUGAUUAAUAUGAUGUUGGUGUGAUCAGAAACUUCUCUAAAUGCAGAUAUGGCACCAGCAAAUGCAAGUUCCGCUUUUUUCAACUCUUUUCUUCCAAGCCUAU